CCUACUCAAUAGUAGUGGCUCGUGAGGCAGUCCGCAACAUAAAACAAAAGUACACAACACGUAGGCACUAAACUGUAAUCGUACAUUUAUUGCCACAAUACUUAAUCAUUCCACUGGAGGACAGGUAAAACAAACAAACAGACGGAGGGGACUUGGGCCAACCACACCACGGGCCGUAUGAUCCAGAGCCUUCCUCCGCUACCCAAAAUCCAACAGACCUAACGGGAGAAAUAAAGCCGCAAAAACCUAAUCCUAACACGUCCUCCAGGAAACACAACAAAAAGGCAAAAGAGCUCUGACACAGCAGAGACAUCCGGAGUAGUGAUCGGCCCCUCCUUCUCCUUCAGCCUCCUCUUUUAUGUUCGGCUGAUUGGCAACUGGGAACACCUGGGCCAAGCUCGGCUGAGUGACAACUGGGAACACCUGGGGAAGGCGGAGCCAGGUGUACCUGCACAGCAGAGAGAACAAAGAGGACAACAAAAAGGGGGGGAGUACGUAACACUCACAUUAAAAUGACAGGAUCAGGCUGAAAAUCCAUAAAGUAAACCUUUAAGCUAACACCACAGUGAUGUUCUUCAAAGAAAAUAA